rnacentral:ribozyme from 1 species
AAGCAAGCGGGUGGCCCUAAGCGACCUCAGCAAGGUCACUGGGACGACCA